rnacentral:rRNA from 1 species
CCUACGGGAGGCAGCAGUGGGGAAUUUUGGACAAUGGGCGCAAGCCUGAUCCAGCAAUGCCGCGUGAGUGAAGAAGGCCUUCGGGUUGUAAAGCUCUUUUGUCAGGGAAGAAACGGUCUACUCUAAUACAGUGGGCUAAUGACGGUACCUGAAGAAUAAGCACCGGCUAACUACGUGCCAGCAGCCGCGGUAAUACGUAGGGUGCAAGCGUUAAUCGGAAUUACUGGGCGUAAAGCGUGCGCAGGCGGUUAUAUAAGUCAGAUGUGAAAUCCCCGGGCUCAACCUGGGAACUGCAUUUGAGACUGUAUGGCUAGAGUGUGUCAGAGGGGGGGUAGAAUUCCACGUGUAGCAGUGAAAUGCGUAGAUAUGUGGAGGAAUACCGAUGGCGAAGGCAGCCCCCUGGGAUAACACUGACGCUCAUGCACGAAAGCGUGGGGAGCAAACAGGAUUAGAUACCCUGGUAGUCCACGCCCUAAACGAUGUCUACUAGUUGUCGGGACUUAAUUGUCUUGGUAACGCAGCUAACGCGUGAAGUAGACCGCCUGGGGGUAAGGUACGGUCGCGAGAAGUUAAACGUUAACGAAGAAGUUAGAGGCGNGAGAGNGCGACGGACGACGACGAGGGAGGAGG